AUGCUCAAAAUUCUCCAAGCCAGGCUUCAGCAAUACGUAAACUGUGAACUUCCUGAUGUUCAAGCUGGUUUUAGAAAAGGCAGAGGAACCAGAGAUCAAAUUGCCAACACCCACUGGAUCAUGGAAAAAGCAAGAGAGUUCCAGAAAAACAUCAAUUUCUGCUUGAUUGACUAUCCCAAAGCCUUUGACUGUGUGGAUCACAAUCAACUGUGGAAAAUUCUGAAAGAGAUGGGAAUACCAGACCACCUGACCUGCCUCUUGAGAAAUCUGUAUGCAGGUCAGGAAGCAACAGUUAGAACUGGACAUGGAACAACAGACUGGUUUCAAAUAGGAAAAGGAGUACGUCAAGGCUGUAUAUUGUCACCCUGCUUAUUGAACUUCUAUGCAGAGUACAUCAUGAGAAACGCUGGACUGGAAGAAACACAAGCUGGAAUCAAGAUUGCCGGGAGAAAUAGCAAUAACCUCAGAUAUGCAGAUGACACCGCCCUUAUGGCAGAAAGUGAAGAGGAGCUAAAAAGCCUCUUGAUGAAAGUGAAAGAGGAGAGUGGAAAAGUUGGCUUAAACCUCAACAUUCAGAAAACAAAGAUCAUGGCAUCUGGUCCCAUCACUUCAUGGGAAAUAGAUGGGGAAACAGUGGAAACAGUGUCAGACUGUAUUUGUUUGGGCUCCAAAAUCACUGCAGAUGGUGACUGCAGCCAUGAAAUUAAAAGAUGCUUACUCCUUGGAAGAAAAGUUAUGACCAACCUAGAUAGCAUGUUCAAAAGCAGAGACGUUACUUUGCCAACUAAGGUCCAUCUAGUCAAGGCUAUGGUUUUUCCAGUAGUCAUGUAUGGAUGUGAGAGUUGGACAGUGAAGAAGGCUGAGCGCCGAAGAAUUGAUGCUUUUGAACUGUGGUGUUGGAGAAGACUCUUGAGAGUCCCUUGGACUGCAAGGAGAUCCAACCAGUCCAUUCUGAAGGAGAUCAACCCUGGGAUUUCUUUGGAAGGAAUGAUGCUAAAGCUGAAGCUCCAGUACUUUGGCCACCUCAUGCGAAGAGUUGACUCAUUGGAAAAGACUGUGAUGCUGGGAGGGAUUGGGGGCAGGAGGAGAAGGGGACGAUCGAGGAUGAGAUGCCUGGAUGGCAUAACGGACUCGAUGGACGUGAGUCUGAGUGAACUCCGGGAGAUGGUGAUGGACAGGAGGCCUGGCGUGCUGCGAUUCAUGGGGUCGCAAAGAGUUGGACAUGACUGA
rnacentral:lncRNA from 1 species